rnacentral:misc_RNA from 1 species
GAAAUUCACAUCUAUCCAAAUGGAGCCUAAAUAUUCCACCAUGGAUAUGUUUGUGAAUUCUUGUGAAUCUGAUACUUGGUGGUGAAGUUCGCUGUAUUUUGCAUUGUCUUAUGACAUAAUAAUGUUAUUUUUGAAGAGAGGAUUAGAAGUGUAGGCUUUAUGUUAUUGGAAUAGAUCAUUAGCUUUCAUUCACUUUUCAAAUGAUAAUAUAUGUAUAUUUCAAUUAAGAUUCAUCGAUUUUGAUAGAUUUUUUUUCCAUCUCGUUAAACUUGUAGUCCUUUAG